UUAGGUUACUGAUUACUAAAUGACUUGCCUACCACAGUAUGUCUCUUUUCUCAUUUGGGCUCAGACCUACUUAGAGUGUGGUGAUUGCGAUCAUGGAAACCAAUGACAAGUCCAGCUCUGCUAAUUUUUGACAUGGAGCCUCUUCAUUUCUGUAAAAUGGAUUUGGAGUGGCACCUACCUCAUGGAAGUUGAGAAUUUCUCAGCUUGGGGAGAAGUUCAGUGAAGACUGCUGGGAGAUAUCAGAAGACCUGUGUGUUCCUGAAAGCUGGCUCCACUCACGCUGUUGCUUGGACAAACAGACUUUCUUUCUGCCUCAAGUUACAUCUUCUUUUCAUUGAGUUGGGGAGGCCAUCACUGUGUGCUGCCUUAAUGCCACUUACACCUGGUGCGUAGGUAUAUAAAUAAUGCCAGACAUGGUGACAAGACUGGAGAAUUCACAAAAUAAUAUUCUAUCAACAUGACUCAGAUAUAUUUGUUGAUCUUUUAAAACUCCAGAUCUACAUAGACCUAUCCUUUCUAAACUUAUAGACAUACUUUUUUCCCUUCAUAUGAAAUUCUUAGCUCUAGAAGAUGUACUUGAUAAGAGAUUCUAAUUCCCUCGUUUUCUUUGUAUAGAGAGUGCCUGAGUAAUAUUUACAAACCAAUAUUUUCUUUUGGAAGGAACUUAAGCAGGAAAUAGAAAAGGUUUUAGUCAUUUAAACUGCUGUAUCUCUUAGCUAAUUCACACAGGAAGCCUAAAAAUUAAGCAGCAUUAAAAUGUGAUGAGUCACUAGCAUAUUUCUCUGUUUAAUUUGAGCCUGUUGUUAAUUUCAAUACUUCAGAAGUAGUAGUUAAGC
rnacentral:lncRNA from 9 species